UUGGGGUAGAGGGAGGGGAGGAGGGCAGCCAGGUGCCCAGGACACAGUGCACAGGAGGCACCACAGACAAGUGGGAAAGGCCUUGGGAAGGGUGGCAGCUGGUGCGUGAGGGUCAGCGGGGAGACAGGGUCAGUCCAGGCAGGGCCUCACCCAUGCCACCAUGGCAGCUGCUGCGUGAGGGUCAGCGGGGAGACAGGGUCAGUCCAGGCAGGGCCUCACCCAUGCCACCUACUUUAACCCAGCAGUUCUCAACCGUGGGUCGUGACCCCUUUGACAAACCUCUAUCUCCAGAAAUCAGAUUCAUAACAGUAGCAAAAUUUACGGUAAGACAGUAGCAAUAAAAAUAACUUUAUUGGUUGGGAGGGUCACCAGAACAUGAGGAACUGUAUUAAAGGGUCGCAAUGUCAGGAAGGUUGAGAACCACUGCUUUAACCCAAACCAAGCCUGGCCAUUUUCAGCACCCACUCCUCCUAAUAACUGGCAUCCAAUAAGGGUGGCAGUAGCACCACCUUCCCAGCCCCGGGACUGGGGGCACAGGCAGAAAAGAGCAACAAGGGAACACUCUGAAGGCUGAAGAGGACCCAGGAGCCAGAGUCCUCAGGAGUGAGGGGAGCCGCUGCAGCUGCAGUCUUGCUUCCCUGGAGGGGUCAAGUGGGUGCCCUCUCCACCAGCUCUGGAGGGGCUUGAGCUCUGGCGCCCAGCCCCUUGUGCCACACCACGCUGAGCUCAUCCUGAAAGUUCUGAAAGUCAUGCCCUGACAAAGGACCCAGCAGAAGAGAACGGUUGGUGGAGGAAGAGGCAGGUCUGGCUGCCACAUCGCGCUAAGUCCUUCCUGGGGCCGUGCCCAUCCUGGUGAAGAGGGCGCAGCACGUCGCACUGUGAAGCAAGCACCAGGAACUGGCAAAGUGCAGACACCCAACUCUCUCCCGGGGCCCCUGGCUACACCAUGACUCACAGAGAGAUAGACAGGCAGUUCAUAGGGGAUGUCCAUCACCACCUUGACACCUUUGUGGACCAAGUUGUGCAGUGUCUCAAAGGUCUCCGACAUGCCCUGGAAGAGGCGACCAGAUACGGGAUGCAGCACCAUCUCUACCUCCCACCAUCUUCUCUAUGGUGUUUGAGAACCUUGGUCAAAGAUGUCCAUCUGUCCAGGGCUUCUUGCCCUUGGCCCUGACCUCUUUCUCUCUUUCAGGCUGGCCUUCCACCACCCCCAAUUACACAAAUCCUGACCUGCCUGUCAUCGCUGUAUGCUCAAAGCUAGCUACUGUUGCUUUCUGGCCAGUGAACUUAGAUUUCUUUCCCAGGAAAUAAGAUAUCCUUGGCUCCACCCCUUCAAUGUAGCUAGACACUAUUUUGCAAACAAAAUGGUUUAAUUCUGGAAAAUAAAGACUUCAAAUAUUUCCCUACCACCACUGUUUAUCCUACAAGCACCAAAUAAAUAUUUUUUGGUAGUUUUACAUCA